rnacentral:rRNA from 1 species
AUUGAACGCUGGCGGCAUGCCUUACACAUGCAAGUCGAACGGCAGCACGGGGGCAACCCUGGUGGCGAGUGGCGAACGGGUGAGUAACAUAUCGGAACAUACCCUAGAGUGGGGGAUAACGUAGCGAAAGUUACGCUAAUACCGCAUACGAUCUAAGGAUGAAAGUGGGGGAUCUUCGGACCUCAUGCUCAUGGAGUGGCCGAUAUCUGAUUAGCUAGUUGGUGAGGUAAAGGCUCACCAAGGCGACGAUCAGUAGCUGGUUUGAGAGAACGACCAGCCACACUGGAACUGAGACACGGUCCAGACUCCUACGGAGGCAGCAGUGGGGAAUUUUGGACAAUGGGGGCAACCCUGAUCCAGCAAUGCCGCGUGAGUGAAGAAGGCCUUC